AAAUUAAGGUUUAAUUUCACUUGUGUUUUCAAAGUUUCACAAAUUGCGAACUUUGAAAACACGCGUGAAAUUAAACCUUAAUUU